rnacentral:rRNA from 1 species
AUGAACCCAUCCUCGGCGCCGGGUCUAGACGGCCUCCCGGUUAAAUUUUUCCAAACCUUCUGAAACGUGAUUAAACCGGAGGUCAUGGCCAUCUUCGACGAGUUCUACAUGGGCUCCAUCGAUCUCGGGCGUCUCAACUAUGGGAUCAUCUCUCUCAUUCCCAAGGUUCCUGGUGCGUCCGACAUUCGUCAAUUUCGCCCGAUCACGGUCAUUAACGUGAUUUUCCGGAUCCUGGCCAAAGGGUACGCCAAUAGGGUGACCCUGCUGGCGGACCGUGUGACGCAUCCCAACCAGUCUACCUUCAUUAAGGGCCGAUAUAUCCUGGAUGGGGUCCUAGUUCUUCAUGAAGUCCUUCAUGAGGUCCGAAAGUGUUGGGGAUCGUUGCAGAAAUUAAAAAUUUUCUACGCAUCACCAAGAUCAAUCUAUGGAGUUUACUAG